rnacentral:rRNA from 1 species
AACGAACGCUGGCGGCAGGCUUAACACAUGCAAGUCGAACGCCCCGCAAGGGGAGUGGCGCACGGGUGAGUAACGCGUGGAUAUCUGCCUUUUGGUUCGGAAUAACCCCGGGAAACUGGGGCUAAUACCGGAUGGUUCCUACGGGAUAAAGAUUUAUCGCCAAAAGAUGAGUCCGCGUACGAUUAGCUAGUUGGUGAGGUAAUGGCGCACCAAGGCGACGAUCGUUAGCUGGUCUGAGAGGACGAUCAGCCACACUGUGACUGAGACACGGCCCAGACUCCUACGGGAGGCAGCAGUGGGGAAUAUUGGACAAUGGGGGCAACCCUGAUCCAGCCAUGCCGCGUGAGUGAUGAAGGCCUUCGGGUUGUAAAGCUCUUUUGGCGGGGACGAUGAUGACGGUACCCGCAGAAUAAGCCCCGGCUAACUUCGUG